rnacentral:rRNA from 1 species
AACGUAGGAGACAAACGUUAUCCGGAGUUACUGGGCGUAAAGGGCGUGUAGGUGGUUUUAUAAGUCUGGCGUGAAAUUUCUCGGCUUAACCGAGGCAGGUCGUCGGAUACUAUGAGACUAGAGGACGGUAGAGGCGUGUGGAAUUCCGGGUGUAGCGGUGGAAUGCGUAGAGAUCCGGAGGAAGACCGGUGGCGAAGGCGGCCUGCUGGGCAGUUACUGACACUGGAGGCGCGACAGCGUGGGGAGCAAACAGG